rnacentral:rRNA from 1 species
AGAGUUUGAUCAUGGCUCAGAUUGAACGCUGGCGGCAUGCUUUACACAUGCAAGUCGAACGGCAGCGGGGGGCUUCGGCCUGCCGGCGAGUGGCGAACGGGUGAGUAAUGCAUCGGAACGUGCCCAUGUCGUGGGGGAUAACGUAGCGAAAGCUACGCUAAUACCGCAUACGUCCUGAGGGAGAAAGCGGGGGAUCUUCGGACCUCGCGCGAUUGGAGCGGCCGAUGUCGGAUUAGCUAGUAGGUGGGGUAAAGGCCCACCUAGGCGACGAUCCGUAGCGGGUCUGAGAGGAUGAUCCGCCACACUGGGACUGAGACACGGCCCAGACUCCUACGGGAGGCAGCAGUGGGGAAUUUUGGACAAUGGGCGCAAGCCUGAUCCAGCCAUGCCGCGUGAGUGAAGAAGGCCUUCGGGUUGUAAAGCUCUUUCGGCCGGGAAGAAAUCGUGGUCUCUAACAUAGGCCAUGGAUGACGGUACCGGACUAAGAAGCACCGGCUAACUACGUG